CCCCCCCCCCCCGUAGUUAAUGGGAUUGUUCCCAAUCUGAUUAAAAACACAGAUCUUAUUUCGUCUCUUUUUUUGUAUAGUUCAAAAUUUCCUUUUAUAUGUCUUUACUACACUAGGAUCUGGAAGAGUUGUUAUAUAACCCGCUUCUGGAUGAUGAUGUGAGGGAUUAGCUAAUGAAACAGUCUGUUGCAGUGAGUUCUUGGUGUGCGAUGCAUGCAACUGUGGGUAUCCUACUAGAUACAUCAACGCUGAUUGGUUAAUCAAAUGUCUGACGUCAUAGGUCAAAAGUCGCCUGCAUGACCCCUAACGCAACCUCCCACUACAACUGGUCAGAUCUUCAUGUAGUAGAGGCCAUAGAAAGUAUUAAAAAAAGACAAGUAAAAUGAAAUUUUGAAAUAUAAAAACAAAACGAAAUAGGAUCUGUGUUUUAAUCAGCUUGUUUUAUAAUAAAAUAGAUAAAUAUAAAGGUCCUGUAUCAAAUAUUAUAUUUUGUUUGUAUACUUGUUUACUGUGUGUACCUGUAUAUUUUCACAUAACAUAACAGAUAUUGUAAAUGUAUUUAUUGUAUAAUUUUAUAUAUAAAAUAUAAAUAUACAGAGAUACUUAUAACACAUUUGUUACUAUUAGUAUGGUUCUACAUAUUUUACAGUAGUUAUUUAUAGCCGAUAUUUAAUAUCUAGAUGAUUCUGCUAUUAAUGGACUCCAGAACAAUUUGCUCAAAUUGAUGUGACUUGAUUUACAAAAAUGUAUAUCUUUUAGCUUCAAAUCAGAAGUGUUUUUUUUUAUAAUAAUUCUUGAUUAACCAUGAAAGAUAAUACAUUUAUAAUAAAUAAUAAAUAUAAUAAAUCA